rnacentral:lncRNA from 1 species
CUCUCUUGGGUGACCUGCCUUAUCAGCAUUAGGAAGCUUUUCCUCUCACUCCUCUUUUCUAUUAAACUUUCCGCUCCUAAACCCACUCCUUGUGUGUGUCCGUGCUGUGAAUUCUUUUCGGCUAUGGUAAAGAACCAGGGUAUAUACCCUAGACAGUGGAGCUGUUUCAUUUUGGGAGCUCAUCCGGGAUCCAAAUCAGAAUGGAAGAUAGAAACAUCGGAGUGCAGUAAAAGUUACAAGUAUCAACCUCUGAAUAUAUCACACUCAAGUCAAAGCCUGAAAAGCUGAGGGAGCAACCUUUGACAGCCCAGAGGAACAUCCUGAAUAUCAAUGUGGAGAUAUAGAAGAUCUUAAGCUGAAAAUCAUAAAAGCAAUCAAACUUCAAAUGGUGCUGCAAACAAAGCCACACAUGGACAUGCCAUUCUUCCAAGAAGCCUUAGAUCAACCUCAGGAGGAGCCCCAACUGCAGCCCCCCGACACGACGCCCCUUUUCAGCAGGAAGUAGCCAGAAAGAAUCGUCGUCCAACACCCCCUAACAGCAGUUAUGGUUACGUCUCCUGAGGGAGGAAAUAAUACAGGAGUUAUUAAGAAAUUAUUUUUAGGCAGCUAGAAAGGGUAAAAAUUCUCAGUGGAAUUUUCCUUUAAUAAAAAGCAGCCCCAAACCAUUUCUUCUCUAACAGGAAGCAGCCUGAAAACUCAGGCAUAGAUAUGCAAACUAGAAGCUUUUAUAUGUAAAUGCUGGCAGCUGUACCUGGAAGUCAGGUACAUCCAAUAUGGCGGUUCCCACUCUCUUUUCCUUGUCACCACGUUUACAGGUGUCAUGGCAGCCUCCAGGUAAAACCACAUGUACAGGUAUCCUGUCCACCACCAGUUGGAGACCGUAUUUGAAUAAUAAAAGACUAGGGUGGGAGAGUCAGUCUUUUCGUGGGCUAUGUAAAUGACACAACUGGUCAAACCAAUUCCCUGAGCGCUGUGUAAAUCAAUCACCGCCUCCUCAACCUCUGUACAAAACCGACUGCAUUCCACCACAAACCGCAGACCCUCUUUUGGGCAACCCACUUUCUCAGCAUGAGGAAGGAUUUUUUCUCUCUUUUCUUUUCUAUUAAACUUUCCACUCCCAA